rnacentral:rRNA from 1 species
GGACUACCCGGGUAUCUAAUCCUGUUUGCUCCCCACGCUUUCGUAGUUGAGUGUCAGUGCUUGUCCAGGUCGCCGCCUUCGCCUCUGGUGUUCCUCCCGAUCUCUACGCAUUUCACCGCUACACCGGGAAUUCCACGACCCUCUCCAAGACUCCAGUCUCACCGUUUCCGGGGCACUUCUCGAGUUAAGCUCGAGGCUUUCACCCCAGACAAAUGAGACCACCUACCUACCCUUUACGCCCAAUGAUUCCGAGCAACGCUUGCACCCUCUGUAUUACCGCGGCUGCUGGCAC